rnacentral:lncRNA from 1 species
AUUCUAAUAUGACGUGCUUCUUUCGCUUUGUAAACAACACCGUGAUAAAAUUCUCCAUAUAUCUAUACUUAGCGCAGACUCAGAGAUAUACAUAAUAAUGGCUUUACAAUAUACUUCCCACGUAAAUCCACAUGUAUUGGAACCUAUUUGUAAACCAUUUGCCGAUUUUAUUUUUUUUUAAAUUGCAGUUAAAAAAGAAAAAAUAACUUAUUCUAAUUCGG